AAGGCUGUACUUUCAGGGAGUGUUUCUACAGUCCGUUCCCAGAGAACUUUCCCUGACCAUGUGGAGCACCGGAAUCCCAGGAGUCACAGUGUCCUCUCCUGAGUGGGCAGCUGGUGUCAGGUGUUGCAUUCGCAACUGCCUUUUACCACUGGUGAUGGUUCUUCUCUUCCUUUGGGAGAGAGAGAGGAAGAGGAUGCAGCCUGAGUGGC